UAUAACUCAGAGUUUAUAAAAAAAAUUAGACCCAAAAUGAUACUUUUGAUAAGAUGUGGCUCCACUUUCGAAUUUUAUAACUAUGUGUUUUGCACUACUUUCGGCUCAACUGUCGAUUCAGCUAUCGCUUUUGGCUCUAGUUUAGCAUCAUCUCCUUGAUGGUUUCUUCUUGAAGAUUAUGAGCAUCCUCUUUGUCUUCCUCGUAAGUAGGGUUAUUCGGGAUACCUAGUACUUUACCUGAAUGGAGCGUUAUUACUUUCACUUGCUUCUUCCAUUCUUUCUACGAAUUAUUAUCGGUGUUGCUUGGAAUGCUUGUGCCAAUUUUCUUUUUUGUCUCUUAUUAUGCUUAUCAAUUGGCUCAUCUGAUCUUCGAGCUCAGUCAAUAUGGUUCGCAUUUGAGUGCAUUCAUACUGUACUUGUCUGGCAUCUAUUCGCAUUGGAUGAAUCUCCCUCGAUUUGAUCAAGUCAUUGACCACAUACAAUAAGGUUUGGGUGGUCUCUCCAAUUGGGAUUAUAAGUGUUCGGAUAGAGAUUUUCACCCCUAUUCUCGACUUAAUUUACGUUCUCAGUUGGGAUAUCAAGCUCUAUCUAGUCUUGAUCUAGACUGUGGAUCCAGCCCGUUGUAGAACAUAUAUAGCCUCAACCAUUCAGGUAGACCAUGGUGAGGGCAUCAUUGUAUGAGAACCUUAAAACGCUCCCAAGCUUCGUGAGAACUUUCUCAUUCCAGUUGUUUAAAUGUUGCAAUCUCUCUCCUUAGUUGGAUUGUUUUGCUAAUAGGAAAGAACUUGUAUAAGAACUUUUUUGUCAGUUCAUUCCAUGUCGUCAUGGAUCCUAAUGCCUGCUAGUCUAACUAAGAGAAAGCGUUAUCCAUUAAGGAGAAGGGGAACAACCGAAGAUGAAUAACAUCAUUGUGACCUAGUUAAACUUAAAAA